AAAUUGAAGAGUUUGAUCAUGGCUCAGAUUGAACGCUGGCGGCAGGCCUAACACAUGCAAGUCGAGCGGUAGCACAGGAGAGCUUGCUCUCUGGGUGACGAGCGGCGGACGGGUGAGUAAUGUCUGGGAAACUGCCUGAUGGAGGGGGAUAACUACUGGAAACGGUAGCUAAUACCGCAUAACCUCGCAAGAGCAAAGAGGGGGACCUUAGGGCCUCUCGCCAUCAGAUGUGCCCAGAUGGGAUUAGCUAGUAGGUGAGGUAAUGGCUCACCUAGGCGACGAUCCCUAGCUGGUCUGAGAGGAUGACCAGCCACACUGGAACUGAGACACGGUCCAGACUCCUACGGGAGGCAGCAGUGGGGAAUAUUGCACAAUGGGCGCAAGCCUGAUGCAGCCAUGCCGCGUGUGUGAAGAAGGCCUUCGGGUUGUAAAGCACUUUCAGCGAGGAGGAAGGCGGUAAGGUUAAUAACCUUAUCGAUUGACGUUACUCGCAGAAGAAGCACCGGCUAACUCCGUGCCAGCAGCCGCGGUAAUACGGAGGGUGCAAGCGUUAAUCGGAAUGACUGGGCGUAAAGCGCACGCAGGCGGUCUGUUAAGUUGGAUGUGAAAUCCCCGGGCUUAACCUGGGAACUGCAUUCAAAACUGACAGGCUAGAGUCUUGUAGAGGGGGGUAGAAUUCCAGGUGUAGCGGUGAAAUGCGUAGAGAUCUGGAGGAAUACCGGUGGCGAAGGCGGCCCCCUGGACAAAGACUGACGCUCAGGUGCGAAAGCGUGGGGAGCAAACAGGAUUAGAUACCCUGGUAGUCCACGCUGUAAACGAUGUCGAUUUGGAGGUUGUGCCCUUGAGGCGUGGCUUCCGGAGCUAACGCGUUAAAUCGACCGCCUGGGGAGUACGGCCGCAAGGUUAAAACUCAAAUGAAUUGACGGGGGCCCGCACAAGCGGUGGAGCAUGUGGUUUAAUUCGAUGCAACGCGAAGAACCUUACCUACUCUUGACAUCCAGAGAAUUAGCUAGAGAUAGCUGAGUGCCUUCGGGAACUCUGAGACAGGUGCUGCAUGGCUGUCGUCAGCUCGUGUUGUGAAAUGUUGGGUUAAGUCCCGCAACGAGCGCAACCCUUAUCCUUUGUUGCCAGCGAUUCGGUCGGGAACUCAAAGGAGACUGCCGGUGAUAAACCGGAGGAAGGUGGGGAUGACGUCAAGUCAUCAUGGCCCUUACGAGUAGGGCUACACACGUGCUACAAUGGCGUAUACAAAGAGAAGCGACCUCGCGAGAGCAAGCGGACCUCAUAAAGUACGUCGUAGUCCGGAUUGGAGUCUGCAACUCGACUCCAUGAAGUCGGAAUCGCUAGUAAUCGUAGAUCAGAAUGCUACGGUGAAUACGUUCCCGGGCCUUGUACACACCGCCCGUCACACCAUGGGAGUGGGUUGCAAAAGAAGUAGGUAGCUUAACCUUCGGGAGGGCGCUUACCACUUUGUGAUUCAUGACUGGGGUGAAGUCGUAACAAGGUAACCGUAGGGGAACCUGCGGUUGGAUCACCUCCUUACCAAGAAG
rnacentral:rRNA from 1 species